UACGUAGGGCGCGAGCGUUAAUCGGAAUUACUGGGCGUAAAGCGUGCGUAGGCGGCUAUGUAAGACAGAUGUGAAAUCCCUGGGCUUAACCUAGGAACUGCAUUUGUGACUGCAUUGCUAGAGUGUGGUAGAGGGAGAUGGAAUUCCGCAUGUAGCAGUGAAAUGCGUAGAUAUGCGGAGGAACACCAAUGGCGAAGGCAAUCUCCUGGACCUGCACUGACGCUCAUGCACGAAAGCGUGGGGAGCAAACAGG
rnacentral:rRNA from 1 species